rnacentral:lncRNA from 1 species
AUUUGAUUCUUCAGUUGGCUUUUAAAUUUGAUUUUUGAAUAUCAAUUACAUAUUAAUCCUGAUUUAUGAGAGCUCAGUUUUACAAACAAACAUAAUUUGUGCCAUAAUUCAAAUUCUGAGCUUUAUUUCACUUUAAUGACAAAUUUAUAACAAGUGAAUAUUUCAAAAAUCAAGUAAGGCAUGUCUUUUUAAUGUGAAUUAAUACUUUAAAGAUGCCAACAUUAUCAGAGAAAUAAAAACUAUAAAAAUGCUUUCCUUGAUGAAGAAUUCCUAAAGUCUGCUACUAGCUCGAACACAGCCUCUCCGUCUAAAAAGGAUUAUUUAACUGUAUCAUAUCCACUUAGUGAUCUAAGACGCACCAAAGAGAUAGCAAGGUUCACGAGAACAAAGCUACUGUACGGAGGACACCGAAUAUCUUCAACAAUAUAAGGAACAAAAAGAAUAGGAGAGAGGAUUUAAAAAAACCAGAUGUUUAUAAAAUACCCCUUGAAUAUCAGAAUACCAGAUAAACAGCACCAUAUGUGGGUAUGACAACAAGAACCCUCAGACAAAGGCUUAAGGAGGACAAGAGGGACAUAGAGAAGGCAAAUCUUAGCACUAUGUUAAUAACUGAGGCAUAUAUUAUGGACCUAUGGGUUGAUUUGAAUAAUGCUAAAAUUGUAAAGCCCAUCCUAAGAGAGUCACAGGCCUUGUUAACCAAAACAAUAGAAAUAACCAGAAGGCACGAAACGGAAAUCUCAUAAAUGAUAAAUCAGCAGUCGGCAUGGGACUACAUCCUAAAAAUAACAAGCUAAUGAUGGAAGAACAAGAUGUUACAUAAUGAGCCAUGA